AUGUUGGUCAAGUGAUUCGAAUUUUCUCAGAUAUAUUUUGCAGCAUGGGGCCAAAUGUGAAAACACGAUAAUGACGAGUUUAACGUGUGCUUGCUAAAAAUGUGUUGGGAAACAUGUUUAACCAUUCAUGAUAACAUCAUAUUUUACAAUCAUUGCCUUACACUCGUAUCAUUACAUUACCUGCGAUAAGGAAACUCUCGAGGAAAAUGAUUAGAGUUUUAAAAACUGUUUUGACGUUUCCGCGUCACAAAUGCGGUAUACCUGGCUGCAGCCCUUCUAAAAGAGUCAGAAAGGUACUUUGCAGAAAUGUUCACAGUUGUACAGAGCAGAAGUUUGACGUUAUCGUGGUUGGAGGGGGACAUGCUGGUACAGAGGCUGCGUGCGCCUCGGCCAGGAUGGGGGCGAGAACCUUACUACUCACCCACAAAAUCAGCACUAUAGGUGAGAUGUCCUGUAACCCAUCGUUUGGGGGGAUAGGUAAAGGACACUUGAUGAUGGAGGUGGAUGCUUUAGAUGGGGUCUGUGGAAGAAUCUGUGAUAAAACUGGAAUCCACUACAGAAUGCUAAAUCGCCCAAAAGGACCAGCAGUUUGGGGUCCUAGAGCUCAGAUAGAUCGGACAUUGUACAAAACGGAGAUUCAGAGAGAGGUUCAGAAUUCUCCAAACCUGACCGUGAUGGCAGGGGCAGUAGAGGAUUUUAUCUUAGGACAGUGUCACAAUCCAGACCUUGAUACAAUGAAACAGAGAUGUUCUGGUGUAAUUUUAGAAUCUGGAGAGAAAGUUUAUGGAGAAUCAGUGGUUUUAACUACUGGGACAUUUCUGAGGGGGAUGAUUCAUAUAGGCUUGGAGGAGUUCCCCGCUGGACGGAUGGGGGACCAACCAGCUAUAGGUCUGGCCAAAAGUUUGGAAGAUGCUGGCUUUACUAUUGCCAGACUUAAGACAGGCACUCCCCCUCGUUUAGAUAAGAGAUCGAUUGAUUUCAGUCAGACCGUCGAGCAUGCACCGGAUGACCCGCCCCUGCCAUUCAGCUACCUCAACACAGAAGUCUGGAUCAAGCCAGAAGACCAGUUACCAUGUCAUAUGACACACACAAAUGAGGAGGUAGAAAAAAUUGUCAUGGAAACCAUUCAUCUGAAUAGACACGUGCAACAGGAAGUCAAAGGGCCAAGAUACUGCCCCUCUAUAGAAUCCAAAGUUUUAAUGUUCAAAGGCAGAAGGCAUCAAAUAUGGCUGGAACCAGAGGGUCUGGAUAGUGAGGUCAUCUAUCCUCAAGGUAUAUCCUGUACUAUGCCUGAGGAACAUCAGCUGAGGCUUAUGCAAGCUAUCCCAGGUCUAGAGAAAGCUGCCAUUGUCAAACCAGGUUAUGGUGUAGAAUAUGACUUUAUGGAUCCCAGACAGCUCAAACCCACAUUGGAAACUAUCAAGAUACAGAAUCUCUUUUUCGCUGGUCAGAUAAAUGGCACGACAGGAUACGAGGAGGCUGCCGCUCAGGGCAUUAUUGCUGGAAUCAAUGCUGCAGCCAAAGUACAGGGCAAGCCUCCCUUCACAGUCGACCGAACAGAGGGUUACAUCGGGGUUCUCAUAGAUGACCUCAUCACCCAGGGAACCAAUGAACCGUAUCGUAUGUUCACCAGUAGAUCAGAGUUUAGGUUGUACUUACGACCAGAUAAUGCAGAUAAAAGACUUACCGCAAAAGGUUUGUUCAAUAAGAUUAAGUUUUAAAAGAAAAUGGUUUCAAAACAUUCCCCAGCGAAAUUCUAGACAAAUCCUUGUGAAAUUCUAUGUUAACCAUUACAGUGAAUUCAAUAAGUGCAACAGUUGCCAUGUGGAAGAAAACAUAUUUAUAGCAAAUUUGCUACACUUAAUAUUACGAAAUUGCUAUUCAGAUAUAACAAAUUACAGAUAUAGCGAAGUAAAUCCACUGGUCCCUUUAACUGAGUAUUCCAAGUGGCAUUUGUAAAAAAUUGUAUGUAUUCUGAGUUUUGGGUGAUCUUGUACAUGUUUUGACCAAAUUAUCCUCAUUAUUUGUUAUUUGUAGGUUACGAUAUUGGGUGUGUUAGUCCGACUCGAUACAACCACACAUUACAACAGUACAAAGAGGUGGAGGAGGCCAUUGAUAAACUCAAGUCUACAGUCAAGUACAUGCAGCAAUGGAACAAACUUCUACAACUACCUAUGAGCUCCAAUCCCAAACCAUACAGUGCUUUCCAGUUGCUUGCUGUACCUGGCAACACGGUAGAGAAAAUAGCAAUGGCAAUGCCUGAGAUAUUCAAGGACCUUCAUCUGAACAGGCAGCUGUGUCAUAAAGUCUUUGCUGAAGGUCUGUACGCCCAGGAGCUAGAAGAGCAGAUGAGCCAGAUAGAAGAGCUUCAGAAAGAGGAACAACUCCUGCUGCCAGAGAACAUUGACUACCUCAGAUUAAAUGAGAUUUCCAUGGAGAUAAGAAUAAAACUGGAUGAUGCCAGGCCAGCGUCUAUUGCUGCAGCUAGUAGAAUUCCUGGAGUUACCCCCUUGGCUCUUUUAAAGCUGUUACAGUUUGUGAAAAGAGCUUUGAAUAAACCUCAAAGUGCUGGCACUUUGCCUUUAGAAUCUAUUUGAGAAUUACAUUUAUUAGUUUUUAAUUGUUUGUCUUAAUUUACUCAAAGUUUUUAAUUGUUUGUCUUAAUUUACUCAAAGUUGUUAAUAAAAUGAUUUCUGAUAC
rnacentral:misc_RNA from 1 species